CCUACGGGAGGCAGCAGUGGGGAAUAUUGCACAAUGGGCGCAAGCCUGAUGCAGCGACGCCGCGUGCGGGAUGACGGCCUUCGGGUUGUAAACCGCUUUUGACUGGGAGCAAGCCCUUCGGGGUGAGUGUACCUUUCGAAUAAGCACCGGCUAACUACGUGCCAGCAGCCGCGGUAAUACGUAGGGUGCAAGCGUUAUCCGGAAUUAUUGGGCGUAAAGGGCUCGUAGGCGGUUCGUCGCGUCCGGUGUGAAAGUCCAUCGCUUAACGGUGGAUCCGCGCCGGGUACGGGCGGGCUUGAGUGCGGUAGGGGAGACUGGAAUUCCCGGUGUAACGGUGGAAUGUGUAGAUAUCGGGAAGAACACCAAUGGCGAAGGCAGGUCUCUGGGCCGUCACUGACGCUGAGGAGCGAAAGCGUGGGGAGCGAACAGGAUUAGAUACCCUGGUAGUCCACGCCGUAAACGGUGGAUGCUGGAUGUGGGGACCAUUCCACGGUCUCCGUGUCGGAGCCAACGCGUUAAGCAUCCCGCCUGGGGAGUACGGCCGCAAGGCUAAAACUCAAAGAAAUUGACGGGGGCCCGCACAAGCGGCGGAGCAUGCGGAUUAAUUCGAUGCAACGCGAAGAACCUUACCUGGGCUUGACAUGUUCCCGACAGCCGUAGAGAUACGGUCUCCCUUCGGGGCGGGUUCACAGGUGGUGCAUGGUCGUCGUCAGCUCGUGUCGUGAGAUGUUGGGUUAAGUCCCGCAACGAGCGCAACCCUCGCCCUGUGUUGCCAGCACGUCGUGGUGGGAACUCACGGGGGACCGCCGGGGUCAACUCGGAGGAAGGUGGGGAUGACGUCAGAUCAUCAUGCCCCUUACGUCCAGGGCUUCACGCAUGCUACAAUGGCCGGUACAACGGGAUGCGACCUCGUGAGGGGGAGCGGAUCCCUUAAAACCGGUCUCAGUUCGGAUUGGAGUCUGCAACCCGACUCCAUGAAGGCGGAGUCGCUAGUAAUCGCGGAUCAGCAACGCCGCGGUGAAUGCGUUCCCGGGCCUUGUACACACCGCCCGUCAAGUCAUGAAAGUGGGUAGCACCCGAAGCCGGUGGCCCAACCUUUUUGGGGGGAGCCGUCUAAGGUGAGACUCGUGAUUGGGACUAAGUCGUAACAAGGUAGCCGUACCGGAAGGUGCGGCUG
rnacentral:rRNA from 1 species